rnacentral:misc_RNA from 1 species
UACGGAGGGUGCGAGAGUUAAUCGGAAUUACUGGGCGUAAAGGGUGCGUAGGUUGUUUAUUAAGUUAUCUGUGAAAUCCCUGGGCUUAACCUGGGGCGGUCAGAUAAUACUGGUAGACUCGAGUAUGGGAGAGGGUAGUGGAAUUUCCGGUGUAGCGGUGAAAUGCGUAGAGAUCGGAAGGAACACCAGUGGCGAAGGCGGCUACCUGGCCUAAUACUGACACUGAGGCACGAAAGCGUGGGGAGCGAACGGG